UAAUACGGAGGGUGCGAGCGUUAAUCGGAAUUACUGGGCGUAAAGCGUGCGCAGGCGGUUUGUUAAGCGAGAUGUGAAAGCCCCGGGCUCAACCUGGGAACCGCAUUUCGAACUGGCAAACUAGAGUCUUGUAGAGGGGGGUAGAAUUCCAGGUGUAGCGGUGAAAUGCGUAGAGAUCUGGAGGAAUACCGGUGGCGAAGGCGGCCCCCUGGACAAAGACUGACGCUCAGGCACGAAAGCGUGGGGAGCAAACAGGAUUAGAUACCCUGGUAGUCCACGCCGUAAACGAUGUCUACUCGGAGUUUGGUGUCUUGAACACUGGGCUCUCAAGCUAACGCAUUAAGUAGACCGCCUGGGGAGUACGGCCGCAAGGUUA
rnacentral:rRNA from 1 species